GUCGCAGUGACUCCGACUCGAGAAAUCAAAACAAAAUACCGCACCUGUCCGUCAUAUGCUGCUUGCAUUGCUGAUCCUUUGGUUGUAAAUCAGGUGAACACGACAGGAAAAUGGAGCAAUGGUAACGUAAUGCAAACGUCAACUGGCAAAAAAUACUACUUUAGACUGCUGGCAAAAAACGAAAACAUUG